AACGAACGCUGGCGGCGUGGAUAAGACAUGCAAGUCGCACGGGACAUUUCUGGUAGCAAUAUUAGAAAUGUCCAGUGGCGCAAGGGUGCGUAACACGUGGGCAAUCUGCCGAGAAGCGGGGGAUAGCUCGCCGAAAGGCGAAUUAAUACCGCAUGUGGCCAGGGAAGACAUCUUCCCGACGCCAAAGCCGGGGCAACUUGGCGCUUCUUGAUGAGCCCGCGGCCAUCAGCUAGUUGGUGAGGUAACGGCUCACCAAGGCUAUGACGGGUAGCUGGUCUGAGAGGACGACCAGCCACACUGGAACUGAGACACGGUCCAGACACCUACGGGUGGCAGCAGUCGAGAAUUUUUCNCAAUGGGGAAACCCUGAAGGAGCGACGCCGCGUGGAGGAUGAAGGUCCUCGGAUUGUAAACUCCUGUCAUUAGGGAACAAGGUCCGCGAUUAACUGUCGUCGGAAUUGAUAGUACCUGAAGAGGAAGAGACGGCUAACUCUGU
rnacentral:rRNA from 1 species